AAGGGAGACCUAAUUCAGGUAGGAGACGAAAAAAAAGUAGUCCCAACCAAGAAUCAAUCCCAAAAGGUCGGAGCGAGGCGAAAUUGGCUUUCAAACUAGGUUCUGGGUUCACACAAGACCUGAAUCAGGAACAAGGGCUAUUAGCUCAGGUGGUUAGAGCGCACCCCUGAUAAGGGUGAGGUCCCUGGUUCGAGUCCAGGAUGGCCCACCUGCACAGGUGGCAAAAACAAGAGAAGCGAGGAAUCAGCACCUUAUCUUAUCUAUAUAUAUAUAGGAGAGAAUGCUGGCUCUGAGUAAAGAGUCUAGAGGAACCUUGAAAACUGCAUAGAGCUAGGUGAAAAAGCCAAAAAAGAAGACCGCAA
rnacentral:tRNA from 1 species